rnacentral:rRNA from 1 species
UUGGAGGGCAAGUCUGGUGCCAGCAGCCGCGGUAAUUCCAGCUCCAAUAGCGUAUAUUAAAGUUGUUGCAGUUAAAAAGCUCGUAGUUGAAUUUCGGGGUUAGUAGGUUGGUCAUGCCUCUGGUAUGUACUGGUCUCACUGAUUCCUCCUUCCUGAUGAGCCGUAAUGCCAUUAAUUUGGUGUUGCGGGGAAUUUGGACUGUUACUUUGAAAAAAUUAGAGUGUUUAAAGCAAGCUAACGCUUGAAUACAUUAGCAUGGAAUAAUGAAAUAGGACGUUCGAUCCUAUUUUGUUGGUUUCUAGGAUUGACGUAAUGAUUAAUAGGGAUAGUUGGGGGCAUUAGUAUUCAAUUGUCAGAGGUGAAAUUCUUGGAUUUUAUUGAAGACUAACUACUGCGAAAGCAUUUGCCAAGGAUGUUUUCAUUAAUUCAGAACGAAAGUUAGGGGAUCGAAGACGAUCAGAUACCGUCGUAGUCUUAACCAUAACUAUGCCGACUAGGGAUCGGAUGAUGUUAGUUUUUUAUGACUCAUUCGGCGCCUUACGGGAAAC